GAUGAACGCUGGCGGCGUGCCUAAUACAUGCAAGUCGAGCGAACGGACGAGAAGCUUGCUUCUCUGAUGUUAGCGGCGGACGGGUGAGUAACACGUGGAUAACCUACCUAUAAGACUGGGAUAACUUCGGGAAACCGGAGCUAAUACCGGAUGAUCUUUUGAACCGCAUGGUUCAAAAGUGAAAGACGGUCUUGCUGUCACUUAUAGAUGGAUCCGCGCUGCAUUAGCUAGUUGGUAAGGUAACGGCUUACCAAGGCAACGAUGCAUAGCCGACCUGAGAGGGGGAUCGGCCACACUGGAACUGAGACGCGGUCCAGACUCCUACGGGAGGCAGCAGUAGGGAAUCUUCCGCAAUGGGCGAAAGCCUGACGGAGCAACGCCGCGUGAGUGAUGAAGGUGUUCGGAUCGUAAAACUCUGUUAUUAGGGAAGAACAUAUGUGUAAGUAACUGUGCACAUCUUGACGGUACCUAAUCAGAAAGCCACGGCUAACUACGUG
rnacentral:rRNA from 1 species